UACGUAGGGGGCAAGCGUUGUCCGGAAUCAUUGGGCGUAAAGAGCGUGUAGGCGGCUUGGUAAGUCCGCUGUGAAAGUCCAGGGCUCAACCCUGGAAUGCCGGUGGAAACUGUCAAGCUUGAGUCCGGAAGAGGCGAGUGGAAUUCCUGGUGUAGCGGUGAAAUGACGCAGAUAUCAGGAGGAACACCAAUGGCGAAGGCAGCUCGCUGGGACGGUACUGACGCUGAGACGCGAAAGCGUGGGGAGCAAACAGG
rnacentral:rRNA from 1 species